rnacentral:tRNA from 1 species
AAGGACGUAGAAUAAUGGUAGUUCGGUAGCGUGUUAAGUUAUCGGUGUUGGUUCGAAUCCAGCCGUCUUUG